CGUCUUGUGCUUGCUCCGAGUUAGUGGAAAAGAGGAGGGAGAGAGCAAGUGAAAGGGGGGAGGAAAAAAAAGACAGGGAAGGAGAGAGCGAGAGGGAGAGAGAUUGAGAGAGAGCGAGAGAGAGAGAGAGAGAGAGAGAGAGCGGGGCUGAGAGAGAGAGACUUGGCAAGGGAAAUCUUAUGGGUAUACUGAAACAGCAGAUCAGAAUUGUGAAACCAGAGCUAGGGCUGAAAUGUGAUGCUUUUGCUCUUUUGUGCUUGUUGUGGUUCUCAUCUUCCUGUUUAGAGGGCUGCAUACCAUUCAACAGCAUAUUUUGAUCACAGAUUGAACAAUGCAGCAAUCAAGCCUGAUAAGCCACCUGGAAGUUUUGCUUGAGACGAUUUCUAGUGGGUUUACUGAUCCCUGUGAGCAUCAUGCCUGCCUUUAGCAUUGUGGAGGAGGACUCGAGUUUCUUAUGAGGGCCCACUUGGAAAAGCCGGCUGUGCAGAUUCAAGCCUCCGGUUCUGUUCAUGCUAUUCAAAAGCCUUUCCUCACCCUUGCUGAUUUAUUUCUAUGAUUUACAUACACUCCUGUGGAGAUUUACAGAAUGGAUUGUCUGUGCAUUGUCACAACCAAGCAGAGCCAUGGCAGAUGCCCAUCUCACAAAUGCUCAGUCGAAACACCUGCCUGGAUACCCAUUCAGCACUCUACCGUAAGUUUGAGCCUUUUAAUACAAAGAUUUGAGAGACUGAAUGGUAAGUCUCUGUGUUUGAAGCAGCCCCGGUCGGGUAAUGUUUCCAUACUCAAUGCAUUUGAGAAAAAAACAGAAAUAAGUCCUAAGGCUAGGCAAAGCUACUUGUGAAGCCUGAACUGUUGAAAUGUUGAGUAGUAGCUUAGCAGGGCU
ensembl:lncRNA